UCCUGCGGGUGGGCGUGUCCUCUGACGUCACAUGAACCUGAACCGUAGAAACUUCAAUCCUGCAGCUCUGAACCUGCGUGACAGCGUCUUCAUCCAGGUUCUUAAACCCGACAGUUUGUCUCCAGAUGAGUUAAUAAAUAUCUGCUCAUCUCGUCUGUUUCCAGCAGAGCGGCAAAAUGGCAACUGCAGAAACAGGAAACCUUCAACCCCUCAGACACAGCAGCAGCAAUCCCAACAUAAAACCUUCCA